rnacentral:piRNA from 1 species
UGGGAAGUAUGAGAAACUUUACUUCUGUGC